AUCCAACUGAUGAAUCCCGAAUAGAAUGAAAUGUGAGUCCUGGAU
rnacentral:hammerhead_ribozyme from 1 species